GGUUAAGCGACUAAGCGUACACGGUGGAUGCCCUGGCAGUCAGAGGCGAUGAAGGACGUGCUAAUCUGCGAUAAGCGUCGGUAAGGUGAUAUGAACCGUUAUAACCGGCGAUUUCCGAAUGGGGAAACCCAGUGUGAUUCGUCACACUAUCAUUAACUGAAUCCAUAGGUUAAUGAGGCGAACCGGGGGAACUGAAACAUCUAAGUACCCCGAGGAAAAGAAAUCAACCGAGAUUCCCCCAGUAGCGGCGAGCGAACGGGGAGCAGCCCAGAGCCUGAAUCAGUGUGUGUGUUAGUGGAAGCGUCUGGAAAGGCGCGCGAUACAGGGUGACAGCCCCGUACACAAAAAUGCACAUGCUGUGAGCUCGAUGAGUAGGGCGGGACACGUGGUAUCCUGUCUGAAUAUGGGGGGACCAUCCUCCAAGGCUAAAUACUCCUGACUGACCGAUAGUGAACCAGUACCGUGAGGGAAAGGCGAAAAGAACCCCGGCGAGGGGAGUGAAAAAGAACCUGAAACCGUGUACGUACAAGCAGUGGGAGCACGCUUCGGCGUGUGACUGCGUACCUUUUGUAUAAUGGGUCAGCGACUUAUAUUCUGUAGCAAGGUUAACCGAAUAGGGGAGCCGAAGGGAAACCGAGUCUUAACUGGGCGUUAAGUUGCAGGGUAUAGACCCGAAACCCGGUGAUCUAGCCAUGGGCAGGUUGAAGGUUGGGUAACACUAACUGGAGGACCGAACCGACUAAUGUUGAAAAAUUAGCGGAUGACUUGUGGCUGGGGGUGAAAGGCCAAUCAAACCGGGAGAUAGCUGGUUCUCCCCGAAAGCUAUUUAGGUAGCGCCUCGUGAAUUCAUCUCCGGGGGUAGAGCACUGUUUCGGCAAGGGGGUCAUCCCGACUUACCAACCCGAUGCAAACUGCGAAUACCGGAGAAUGUUAUCACGGGAGACACACGGCGGGUGCUAACGUCCGUCGUGAAGAGGGAAACAACCCAGACCGCCAGCUAAGGUCCCAAAGUCAUGGUUAAGUGGGAAACGAUGUGGGAAGGCCCAGACAGCCAGGAUGUUGGCUUAGAAGCAGCCAUCAUUUAAAGAAAGCGUAAUAGCUCACUGGUCGAGUCGGCCUGCGCGGAAGAUGUAACGGGGCUAAACCAUGCACCGAAGCUGCGGCAGCGACGCUUAUGCGUUGUUGGGUAGGGGAGCGUUCUGUAAGCCUGUGAAGGUGUGCUGUGAGGCAUGCUGGAGGUAUCAGAAGUGCGAAUGCUGACAUAAGUAACGAUAAAGCGGGUGAAAAGCCCGCUCGCCGGAAGACCAAGGGUUCCUGUCCAACGUUAAUCGGGGCAGGGUGAGUCGACCCCUAAGGCGAGGCCGAAAGGCGUAGUCGAUGGGAAACAGGUUAAUAUUCCUGUACUUGGUGUUACUGCGAAGGGGGGACGGAGAAGGCUAUGUUGGCCGGGCGACGGUUGUCCCGGUUUAAGCGUGUAGGCUGGUUUUCCAGGCAAAUCCGGAAAAUCAAGGCUGAGGCGUGAUGACGAGGCACUACGGUGCUGAAGCAACAAAUGCCCUGCUUCCAGGAAAAGCCUCUAAGCAUCAGGUAACAUCAAAUCGUACCCCAAACCGACACAGGUGGUCAGGUAGAGAAUACCAAGGCGCUUGAGAGAACUCGGGUGAAGGAACUAGGCAAAAUGGUGCCGUAACUUCGGGAGAAGGCACGCUGAUAUGUAGGUGAAGUCCCUUGCGGAUGGAGCUGAAAUCAGUCGAAGAUACCAGCUGGCUGCAACUGUUUAUUAAAAACACAGCACUGUGCAAACACGAAAGUGGACGUAUACGGUGUGACGCCUGCCCGGUGCCGGAAGGUUAAUUGAUGGGGUCAGCGCAAGCGAAGCUCUUGAUCGAAGCCCCGGUAAACGGCGGCCGUAACUAUAACGGUCCUAAGGUAGCGAAAUUCCUUGUCGGGUAAGUUCCGACCUGCACGAAUGGCGUAAUGAUGGCCAGGCUGUCUCCACCCGAGACUCAGUGAAAUUGAACUCGCUGUGAAGAUGCAGUGUACCCGCGGCAAGACGGAAAGACCCCGUGAACCUUUACUAUAGCUUGACACUGAACAUUGAGCCUUGAUGUGUAGGAUAGGUGGGAGGCUUUGAAGUGUGGACGCCAGUCUGCAUGGAGCCGACCUUGAAAUACCACCCUUUAAUGUUUGAUGUUCUAACGUUGACCCGUAAUCCGGGUUGCGGACAGUGUCUGGUGGGUAGUUUGACUGGGGCGGUCUCCUCCUAAAGAGUAACGGAGGAGCACGAAGGUUGGCUAAUCCUGGUCGGACAUCAGGAGGUUAGUGCAAUGGCAUAAGCCAGCUUGACUGCGAGCGUGACGGCGCGAGCAGGUGCGAAAGCAGGUCAUAGUGAUCCGGUGGUUCUGAAUGGAAGGGCCAUCGCUCAACGGAUAAAAGGUACUCCGGGGAUAACAGGCUGAUACCGCCCAAGAGUUCAUAUCGACGGCGGUGUUUGGCACCUCGAUGUCGGCUCAUCACAUCCUGGGGCUGAAGUAGGUCCCAAGGGUAUGGCUGUUCGCCAUUUAAAGUGGUACGCGAGCUGGGUUUAGAACGUCGUGAGACAGUUCGGUCCCUAUCUGCCGUGGGCGCUGGAGAACUGAGGGGGGCUGCUCCUAGUACGAGAGGACCGGAGUGGACGCAUCACUGGUGUUCGGGUUGUCAUGCCAAUGGCACUGCCCGGUAGCUAAAUGCGGAAGAGAUAAGUGCUGAAAGCAUCUAAGCACGAAACUUGCCCCGAGAUGAGUUCUCCCUGAC
rnacentral:rRNA from 1 species